GAGAUAAUAGUAUAAUUUAGUAUAAUUUAUUUUCAUUAAGUAGGUAAUUAUCUUAU
rnacentral:tRNA from 1 species